rnacentral:rRNA from 1 species
GACGAACGCUGGCGGCGUGCUUAACACAUGCAAGUCGAACGGUGAAGCGCCUUCCUUUUUGGUGGGUGUGGAUGAGUGGCGAACGGGUGAGUAACACGUGAGUAACCUGCCCCCUUCUUCUGGAUAACCGCAUGAAAGUGUGGCUAAUACGGGAUAUUCUGGGUCUGUCGCAUGAUGGGUCUGGGAAAGAUAUUGUUUCGGUGGGGGAUGGGCUCGCGGCCUAUCAGCUUGUUGGUGGGGUGAUGGCCUACCAAGGCGGUGACGGGUAGCCGGCCUGAGAGGGUGGACGGUCACACUGGGACUGAGACACGGCCCAGACUCCUACGGGAGGCAGCAGUGGGGAAUAUGGCACAAUGGGCGCAAGCCUGAUGCGGCGACGCCGCGUGAGGGAUGGAGGCCUUCGGGUUGUGAACCUCUUUCGCCAGUGAAGCAGGCCUGCCUCGUUUGUGGGUGGGUUGACGGUAGCUGGAUAAGAAGCGCCGGCUAACUACGUG